ACGGGACCGCACAAGCGGUGGAUAAUGUGGAUUAAUUCGAUGCAACGCGAAAACCUUACCUACCCUUGACAUGUCCGGAAUCCCGAAGAGAUUUGGGAGUGCUCGCAAGAGAGCCGGAACACAGGUGCUGCAUGGCUGUCGUCAGCUCGUGUCGUGAGAUGUUGGGUUAAGUCCCGCAACGAGCGCAACCCUUAUCGUUAGUUGCUACCAUUAAGUUGAGCACUCUAGCGAGACUGCCCGGGUUAACCGGGAGGAAGGUGGGAUGACGUCAAAUCAUCAUGCCCCUUAUGUCUAGGGCUACACACGUGCUACAAUGGUGAGGACAAAGAGACGCAAGACCGCGAGGUGGAGCAAAUCUCACAAACCUCAUCCCAGUUCGGAUUGCAGGCUGAAACUCGCCUGCAUGAAGCCGGAGUUGCUAGUAAUCGCGAAUCAGCAUGUCGCGGUGAAUACGUUCCCGGGCCUU
rnacentral:rRNA from 1 species